UUUUCUGAAAUUCUCGGUAAUAAUGCACAGUUUAGGUUUUGCAUUUUAAAGAAAUAUCAAACGAAGUUGAAAUGACUUGAAAUUUUACCAGGGUACUCAAGACUCAUGUAGGGACUUGCUAUAAAAGUUUCAAAGAUAUUUGACAUCGACAAACCGUCGAUCACAGUAGGUCAGUAAGGCCUACGAAAUUUCUCCAAAAUCUCAUCUCAAACUCUUUAUAUGCUCAACCACAUCAAAACGAUCGAGCGAUUCAAAAAAAUAUACUCAACCUCGACUCUUCUCAGCUCAUAUCAUUCUCGAACAUCAACUCAAAGCAAAAGCAAAUCUCACUUUAACUCAAUUAAAUUCCCAUGGCAAACCAUAGCCAAUAUCC
rnacentral:lncRNA from 1 species